CCUACGGGGGGCAGCAGUGGGGAAUAUUGGACAAUGGGCGAAAGCCUGAUCCAGCCAUGCCGCGUGUGUGAAGAAGGCCUUCGGGUUGUAAAGCACUUUCAGUGGGGAAGAAAGCCUUGGGGCUAAUACCCUCGAGGAAGGACAUCACCCACAGAAGAAGCACCGGCUAACUCCGUGCCAGCAGCCGCGGUAAUACGGAGGGUGCGAGCGUUAAUCGGAAUUACUGGGCGGAAAGCGCGCGUAGGCGGUCUGAUAAGCCGGUUGUGAAAGCCCCGGGCUCAACCUGGGAACGGCAUCCGGAACUGUCAGGCUAGAGUGCAGGAGAGGAAGGUAGAAUUCCCGGUGUAGCGGUGAAAUGCGUAGAGAUCGGGAGGAAUACCAGUGGCGAAGGCGGCCUUCUGGACUGACACUGACGCUGAGGUGCGAAAGCGUGGGUAGCAAACAGGAUUAGAUACCCGUGUAGUC
rnacentral:rRNA from 1 species